rnacentral:tRNA from 1 species
GAAAAUCUAGUUUAUAAUAAAAUAUUAAUUUGUCAAAUUAAAGAAAUUCUUAAAUGAUUUUCU